UACAGAGGGUGCGAGCGUUAAUCGGAAUUAGCUAGGGCGUAAAGCGUGCGUAGACGGUAGCGUAAGUCAGAUGUGAAAAGCCCCGGGGCUUCCAACCUGGGAAUUGCAUUUGAGACGUGCUCUGCUCGGGUGCGGGAAGAGGGAAGCGGAAUUUCCGGUGUAGCGGUGAAAUGCGUAGAUAUCGGAAGGAACACCAGUGGCGAAAGC
rnacentral:rRNA from 1 species